UAUGUAUGAAUUCUGGUUGUGUUUACUGACCUCGAAACGAUUUCAUGUGGUACACGCCGCUCAAAAAAUCUGUCAAAUGUUUUAGUACGACUUUGGUAAGCUACGAACCUGCACCGCUUGAUGGAUUGUAUGGCCCUAAUUUCUGCCUUUACAUGUAUGUAAACUCUUGUAAAUUACAGACAUCAGACUGUUCGUCUCCACUAUCCCCACUUUAAUUUUUAUAUGUAUUUUGUAUGCUUUGUACUCGACUUUGUCUACUCUGUGGUCAAAAUGGCUUGGUCCCAUUAAAACUUUUAAAAUCCUUUUGCUUUAAAUCUAGAAUAUACCAGUCAAGAAAUUUGAUGGAGUGCUGAGGAACAUGGAUUUAGCCCAAGCAAAAGUCAUGGCUAGUUAUGUACUGGCAUCACUGGCUGCGAGCGAGGAAGAGAAGAAACAGGUUGAGGAAGCAACAGUAGGACAAACACUGAAUGCACUGUGGCUGGUAUAUUGCAAGCAGACUAUCACAGCCAGCAACUUUGGUUUGGUCCUGGGUGCAGUCCAAUGGAGCUCAUACCCUCCUUCAUUAUUUAAGACUCUGCUUGGCCAGUAGAACCUGACAAAAUGAUUGAAACAUGUGAUUGGGGGAUCCUUUAUGAACCAAAGGCCAAGCAGCUGUAUACUGACUCUACUGGUGCAGUUAUCAAGGAGGAGACUGUUUUUAUCCAACAAUGGCCUGCUUGGUGGUUCUCCAGAUGGGAUAGUCAAGUCAAGUGAGCUUUAUUUGUAUAGCACAUUUAAAAGACAUCAAGUCUUGGCCAAAGUGCUGAACAGGGGUAUAAUGUAAACAAAUAAAAGAAAGAAUUGAA